UCCAAAAAUUCCUGCCUCUGUCACAGCACCUCCAUUCAUUUCCUGAAGUACUUUUUACUUGCAAGAGGAUGAUAUCCUACGAGGGUCUCAUGAUCACCUUCUAAAGGAAAGGAUGUUUUAACACGCAAGCGUGGGAAGGACUUUGUGGGUGAUAGCCACGCAUUCAACAAAAGCCACCGCUGGACUCCA
rnacentral:lncRNA from 1 species